UUUUCCAUGGCUUGCCCAAAACCUUUGGGUUUCCAUGACUUGUCCAAAACCUUUGUGUUUCCAUGACUUGCCCAAAGCCUUUGGGUUUUCCAUGGCUUGCCCAAAGCCUUUGGGUUUCCAUGACUUGUCCAAAACCUUUGUGUUUCCAUGACUUGCCCAAAGCCUUUGAGUUUUCCAUGGCUUGCCCAAAGCCUUUGGGUUUCCAUGACUUGUCCAAAACCUUUGUGUUUCCAUGACUUGCCCAAAGCCUUUGGGUUUUCCAUGGCUUGCCCAAAGCCUUUGGGUUUCCAUGACUUGUCCAAAACCUUUGUGUUUCCAUGGCUUGCCCAAAGCCUUUGGGUUUUCCAUGGCUUGCCCAAAGCCUUUGGGUUUCCAUGACUUGUCCAAAACCUUUGUGUUUCCAUGACUUGCCCAAAGCCUUUGAGUUUUCCAUGGCUUGCCCAAAGCCUUUGGGUUUCCAUGACUUGUCCAAAACCUUUGUGUUUCCAUGACUUGCCCAAAGCCUUUGUGUUUCCAUGACUUGCCCAAAGCCUUUGUGUUUCCAUGGCUUGCCCAAAGCCUUUGGGUUUCCAUGGCUUGCCCAAAGCCUUUGGGUUUUCCAUGGCUUGCCCAAAGCCUUUUGGUUUCCAUGGCUUGCCCAAAGCCUUUGGGUUUUCCAUGACUUGCCCAAAGCCUUUGGUUUUCCAUGGCUUGCCCAAAGCCUUUGGGUUUCCAUGACUUGUCCAAAACCUUUGUGUUUCCAUGGCUUGCCCGCAAAGCCUUUGGGUUUUCCAUGGCUGACCACAGAUUGAAACCCAGGUCUCCAGAGUCGUCGUCCACUGCUCACAUCCUUACACCAUGCUCUCGGGGGUUUUCCUGCCCUUUAGGAGUGACUGAGCCUUUUGCAAUGUGAGGUCUUUAAGAAAUAUGGGAUGUGGUCUCAAACUCACUGAAGUGUGUUUGUUGCAAAACCCAAAUCGGAUUAGGCUGGUUAGGGCCCCAAGGCACUUCCAUAAAUAGGGCUUCCAUUGUUUGCAUUUGGUAAGCUGUUCUAGGAAUGUUGCCGUAGAAAUUAAAUUUAUAAACACCACACAAGAAACAGCAGCACAUAAAUCUUCAUGUGUGCGCCUUUUAUAAGCCCUCUAAUUUCAGUGAGACAUUCAACUUGACCCCAUGCAUUUUUACUCAAGUAGUGCAUGUCAUAUUGGUAAUAACUGUCAAUUUAGGAAGCUGGGUUGCUGUGAGUUUUCCAGGCUGUGUGGCUAUGUUCCAGAAGCAUUCUCUCCUGACGUUUCACCCACAUCUAUGGCAGAUAUCCUCAGAGGUUGUGAGGUUUGUUGGAAGCUAGGCAAACUAGGCAAACAGACUCUUGUCUGUUUUAGGCAAGUGUGAAUGUUGCAAUUGGCCACCACAAUAUUUCCUAGUCUAAGGUAAUCCAAUCAUUAACAAGAGUAAAGCGGGGAACAAAUCUAUCUAUAUAAAAAGGUAAUGAAAUUUUGGCCUAGGACAAAACAACAAAAUCACACAUCCUAGAAACACUAAACUUGGUAGCACAACCCCUCAUCCAUGCCUCUACGUUCAUACAACAAAAAUAAAAUAAAAAUAAAAUCCUAAUUAGAGGGAGAGGAAUAAUUGUUUUUAUCUAAUUGCUGCCAGUUAGAAGGCUACGCUCCGCCCACUUGGUCUCCUAGCAACCCACUCAGCCCAGGGGACAGGCAGAGUUAGGCCUCACUUAGGCCUCUUCCACACUGCCUAUAAAAUACAGAUUAUCUGAUUUGAACUGGAUUAUAUAGCAGUGUAAAAGGGGCUCCUGAUGGCACAGUGUGUUAAAGCACUGAGCCGCUGAACUUGCGGACCAAAAGGUCCCAGGUUCAAAUCCUAGGAGCGGAGUGAGCGCCCGCUGUUAGCCCCAGCUCCUGCCAACCUAGCAGUUCGAAAACAUGCCAAUGUGAGUAGAUCAAUAGGUACUGCUCCGACGGGAAAGUAACUGCGCUCCAUGCAGUCAUGCCAAUGGCCACAUGACCUUGGAGGUGUCUAUGGAUAACGCCGGCUCUUCGGCUUAGAAAUGGAGAUGAGCACCAACCCCUAGAGUCAGACACGACUGGACUUAAUGUCAGGGGAAAACCUUUACCCUUUACCUUAUCUACCACCAAUUCCUCAAUACUUUAUUUCCCAUACCACCAAACUUCGCCACAGCUAGUAUACUUAUAAUAUGUGAGGAAAUAGCCACAAUUGCUAAGCCAUUAAUACAAAGGCAUUCUACUUUAAUACUAUAACUUGAUCUACAUUCUUGGAAUAGUAUGAGUGUCCAUUAUCUUCUAAAGACCCUAUAACUUAACAUUAACUGUUUGCCUCUUUAAUAGUUUGGUCACAUUGUCUAUGGAUGAUGGGGGUUGUAGGCCACACUUCUGGAUUGCACCAUGUUGGCAAAGGCUGCUGUAAAAUUGGGAAUUUCUUCCAAGUCAAUUUAAUUUUAAGUGAAUUCCUCUUGCAUUAUCACAACAGUAAUAUUUCAAUUCCUGAGAGAGAAAUUAUUGAAAAGGGGCCUGCAAUUCUUUGGGAACUAUACUGAUUACCACAAAUACUCGAUUUCCCCAUUCAGACCCUAUAAAACCCUACAUUUUUUUUAAAGAAAGUCAUAAACCAUGGUAUUGAGGUCCCUGAAUGCUUGGAUGUUUGACUUAAGGUAUAUGCUCAUAUAGCUCCAUAUUGUGACUAAAGGUAUAUGUCCCGUAUUGCUCCAUAAUGUUGCUGCUGUUUUCUUGUCUUCACAAUCCCCAAACAUGCUAUGUUUAAAUAUACUUAUCUUGAAAUUUUAUAUAAUUUCAAUAUAUAAAAAACCUAUGUAAUUUAUUUGUAGGUUGUACCUAUUUGCUGAAAAGACAACAUAGUGUGCAUAAAUUAUCCUUUGGUCCUUCUGUGUAUUUCUUGAUAGCUGGCCUUCACAUUCUGACUAUUGGAAAAUUUAAAGUAAGGAAGGAUCCGUCCUAUUUGUGUGUAUUCUUAUCUAUGGCAAGUUGGCGCUCUUUUUUUGCUUUUGACGUGGGAAAAAUAUGAUCACUCAUUACUAUCCAGAAGCAAAUGCAGCACAAGUUUUUCAUGCAUGUUAGAAACUCUUUCCGCUGCAUUUCUUCUCAGCCAAGACUCAAGGAAGGCUCACAUCCUGUCCAGUUCUUGUAAUUUUACAAACUAAACCUUACAUUUCUCCACUUUGAAAAGGAAGACGGCAUGCAGAUUUCUUAGUCUUCGGCAUUUAUGCUUUGAAAAACUGUCUCUUCCCUUUGGUGCACAGAGACUGUGGGCCAGGGAUGAAAAAUUUAUUUCUGUAAAUCAAUAUGGUUUUGAUUGUGCCUUAUGAGAAAGGAGGAGGUCUACAUGGAAUGUAGAUGUUGAAGAGGCAAUGUGUUGCUCUCUGCACUGUUAAGGAAUGAUGCGUUGUGUAGUCACAAGAAAGAUUGCUGUGGUUAACUCCCCAACCAAAGAGAUUGGAAAAUACGUAGGUAUGUAUGUUGUACUAAAAUAGAGGUUUGUGCCUGGAAAAAAUUAAUUGGGUUGGGUUUUGUUUUGUUGGGUUUUUUUGGUUGUUUGUUCGUAUUCUGAAAUGUGAACUUAUUUUUCUAAACGCUAUAUACUGAAUAAACUUUAUAUUUAUACAUAAA